AGUACGACCGCAAGGUUAAAACUCAAAUGAAUUGACGGGGACCCGCACAAGUAGUGGAGCAUGUGGUUUAAUUCGAAGAUACGCGCAGAACCUUACCAACACUUGACAUGUUCGUCGCGACUCUAAGAGAUUAGAGUUUUCGGUUCGGCCGGACGAAACACAGGUGCUGCAUGGCUGUCGUCAGCUCGUGUCGUGAGAUGUUGGGUUAAGUCCCGCAACGAGCGCAACCCUCACUUUUAGUUGCCAUCAUUAAGUUGGGCACUCUGAAAGAACUGCCAGUGAUAAGCUGGAGGAAGGUGGGGAUGACGUCAAGUCCUCAUGGCCCUUACGUGUUGGGCUACACACGUGCUACAAUGGUAUCUACAACAGGAAGCAAGACUGCGAAGUUAAGCAAAUCCUUAAAAGAUACCUCAGUUCGGAUUGCACUCUGCAACUCGAGUGCAUGAAGCUGGAAUUACUAGUAAUCGUGGAUCAGCGUGCCACGGUGAAUGCGUUCCCGGGUCUUGUACACACCGCCCGUCACACCAUGGGAGUUGGUUCUACCUUAAGGCAAGGUUUCAAACCCUUGACCACGGUAUAGUCAGCGACUGGGGUGAAGUCGUAACAAGGUAACC
rnacentral:rRNA from 1 species